rnacentral:rRNA from 1 species
UGGGGAAUAUUGCACAAUGGGGGAAACCCUGAUGCAGCGACGCCGCGUGAGUGAAGAAGUAUUUCGGUAUGUAAAGCUCUAUCAGCAGGGAAGAUAAUGACGGUACCUGAGUAAGAAGCCCCGGCUAACUACGUGCCAGCAGCCGCGGUAAUACGUAGGGGGCAAGCGUUAUCCGGAUUUACUGGGUGUAAAGGGAGCGUAGACGGCAUGGCAAGUCUGAAGUGAAAGCCCGGGGCUCAACCGCGGGACUGCUUUGGAAACUGUUAGGCUGGAGUGCAGGAGAGGUAAGUGGAAUUCCUAGUGUAGCGGUGAAAUGCGUAGAUAUUAGGAGGAACACCAGUGGCGAAGGCGGCUUACUGGACUGUAACUGACGUUGAGGCUCGAAAGCGUGGGGAGCAAACAGG